GCUUUAUAAGCGGCCGCGCAGAGGACUCGCUCCUUUUUGCGCCGUGCGCUUGGAGCGGCGGGGUGAGAGCAGGCGGUGCCGGGCUCAGGGCCGGGCUCAGGGCCGGGCUCGGGGCCUGCAGGGCGGGCAGCGUGGCGGCGCAGGCCUGGCGUACCGAGCAAAGCAGCGCCCGUACCGCUGAGCGAGCUGAAGCGCUCGCUCCCCCCGCUCGGCAGUGGUAGCGGCCGCCGGGCCUGCCUGGGCCGCGCGGGCCGGGCCGCACCAUUGGAGGGGCGGGGGGGGAGGGCGCGUGGCGCCUCACGGCCCUUGUCCCUCAGGCCACCAUGGAGGCGGCACCGGCACCGCGACCCCGCCAGGACCCCGCCAGGGCCGGGAACGCUCCCCGCAGAAAGAUGUCUUGAAGUAAAGAAGCCAGGCUUCCCACCUGGAUGUGACACAGCAGGACUGGGAACAGCUGGGGAGGUGGCCCUGAUGUGA
rnacentral:lncRNA from 1 species